UACGUAGGGUGCAAGCGUUGUCCGGAAUUAUUGGGCGUAAAGAGCGUGUAGGCGGCCCGACCAGUCCGCUGUGAAAGUCCAGGGCUCAACCCUGGAAUGCCGGUGGAUACUGUCGGGCUAGAGUCCGGAAUGGGCGAGUGGAAUUCCUGGUGUAGCGGUGAAAUGCGCAGAUAUCAGGAGGAACACCAAUGGCGAAGGCAGCUCGCUGGGACGUGACUGACGCUGAGACGCGAAAGCGUGGGUAGCAAACAGG
rnacentral:rRNA from 1 species